CUCCACCAUCAUCUACGAGAGCUCGGAGCCGGACACCCCCUUGGUUCGACUAGGAUGGAAUAAGCAGGACCCAAGGUACAUGGCCACCAUCAUCAUGGAUAGUGCCAAGGUGGUUGUUCUGGAUAUCCGCUUCCCAACUCUCCCCGUGGUGGAGUUGCAGAAGCACCACGCUAGUGUCAAUGCCAUUGCUUGGGCCCCUCACAGCUCUUGCCACAUUUGCACUGCUGGGGA
rnacentral:misc_RNA from 1 species